UAGCAUGUUCUGUUUAGUCGGCCCACAUCACACUCAGGAGGAGAAGUAAAGGACCAACACUACAACAUUUUUAAUUAUAUGUUACACUAAAAUCUCACGUUUAUUAAGAAGCGCUAUUAAUUCUCACAUAAAAAAAUAACACUGAAUUGUUUAGGCGCGGAAUUGUUUGGAACUAGGCGCCAAAUGAAAGUCUUAGAUCUAACCCGAGAAGAAAAAAAAACAAUUAAAUACAGAAAUUUAUCUAAUUCCUCUUAUCUCUCCUCUUUUCCUCUCUCUCCUUACUCUCAGUCUCUUUCACACUUAGGCUCUCGGCUCUCUCUGCUUCACGCAAGCUGCUGGAGCACACCACACCGAUUGGUAGUGUUGAGAAAUUUACGACUCGCCCCUAACUCAUCAUCCUUCUAGCAGAGCCAUAGAUCAGAAAAAGCCCCAUUCUUUCAGUUUCCAUCCAUCUCUCUACAAUGGAGUUCCACAGAUUCUACCUGCUAGUCAUCUUGUCGAUUCUAUGUUUUCAGAAUUGCCGGACAACAAUCAAGAUGAGCCUUAGUCUCAGCCUGAGUUGACUCCCAAAUUCAUCGCCUUUGUUCCCAUCAUCCAUGGCUAGGGUUUCUCACUCCCAUGCUCUCAGAUUUUCCAAUUUCCGUUACAGACCUUUGCCCCGGCACCACCUACUUCCUCCUGCAUCUGCCCGCUCUUCCUCGCCGGCUCUUUACUCCGAACCCAAUUCUAAAGCCCAAGUGUAUGAGUAAAACAUAGAGAAGCUUAUUUAUCGAUGUCGGUUCAUGACGCUACUUGGGGUGUUGGGCUCUUUAAUUGACUCCAUUCUCUGCUUCAUCAAGGUACACACCUUUUCUUUUCAAUUUGGUUACUCUAACCAAGCAAAUUCAUGAAUAGAAAGUUUUACUCUGUGUUUGACCAAAAGUAUAACAAUUAGUCAUGUGAAUUUGACACUAAGACAAAUUUUAUGGUGUGAUCAAAUUUAACAUAAAAUCUUACACUCUGUCCAUGUCCAUACAACUGGUAUAAUGAAUCUAUCUAGUAUACUAUACAUAUAAAUUUAGUGCAAUGAGUUAUAUAUAAUCCAUUCACAUCUAUAAGACUAAACCAUAUCAGUAAACAUGUGGUUAGGGUCAUGAUUUGCUCUUGUGAGGUUUGCAGUUUUUUUUCUUGUGGGAAUCUACUUAGCAAAUUGCUAGUUUCUCCAGCCUCCGAAGGAGUUAAGGUUGAACAAAUAAAAGAUAAAUAAAGUGAAAAGUACAUCUACUUGAUAAGCAGUAGAAGAAGUUGUAUGUUCUGAUCCCAGUGAUGACGGAUCACUCAAGAAUAAAAAAAAGAGAGAGAGAGAAAACUGACAAGUAAUCUUUUUUAUACUCAUCGUACUGGAUUGAUUGUAGAAGCUUCUGGUCCAACAGAGCUAGAGAAUGGGGCAAAAGAAACGUUGAUACUAAAUGUUAUGAGUUUUCUUCUAAUUAACAAUAAGGUUUUCCUUGUGUAAUUCGAUCUAUGUUUUUUUCUCUGUGUGGACAUUAUUGAGUGUUUCACAUUUCUUUUUCUGGUUUUAGUUAUAGAUUUUACUUUUAAAGUACAUGACUCAUGUAGAAACAUUUAUGAUGAAUCAUGGCAGGGGAACCAGGAAAUUGACAGAAUUGACUGUACGUGAUAAAAUGAUAUCCAUUCAUGGUUCUAUGUUUCUGCAAUUAUAUAUAAUUAUUAUAGAGAUGAAACUCUCUAAUGAACGUGAUUCAUUGGCAAUGACUACUAAGAAACUAAGUCGUGAUAGUUAAUCUUACUAAGAGGUAACACCUUUGUUCCCAUAUCUGAAGGAUUUUCUUCUGUUGGUACCUUCUCAAUCUUUAUUUUCCCUUGAGUAACCUUUUCUCAAUCUAACUAUUUAACCAACAUUGUACUUUACUACUCUAAUUCACAAG